UCCGGAAACAGACCAGGUCAUCCAUGACUGCAACAAAUUAUGCAUGACUGUUGUCAGGAAUACAACAUACAAAUGGAGCUCGGAUUUUAUUCUUUUUGCAUCUUAUCUGGACUUCUUCUUGCCGUCCUAGUCAUUCUCUGGAUUUAUACAACAAACUCAAAGAAAUCCAAUAAAACAGUUCCCUCAGGAGUGGUGCUUCUACACCAAUCGAAACCUNACUCUACGAUUGUCAACCUCUCUCCGCCAUGUUUGAAGUUGGAAACAUUUCUUCGCAUGGCGAAAAUUCCUUAUGAGUGUGACUACUCCUUAAAAAGCUCAAGCAAAGGAAAGAGACCGUGGAUAGAAAUCAAUGGAAUAGCAGUUGCAGAUUCCAACUUUUGCAUUGAGUUUCUCAGCAAGGAGUUUAAGGUUGAUGUUGAUAGUCACUUGACUGACGAGGAGAAGGGUUUAGCUACUGCUCUACGUGUUAUGCUGGAAGAGAACACCUACUGGACGAUUGUUUAUUAUCGUUGGUGUAGUAGCUAUGCACCAGAGUUUGGUCGAAUUGUACUUGAUUCCAUUCCAUUCCCUCUGAGAACUAUCGUGUUUUGGAUAGCUCAAAGACGUGUCCAGGGCUACUUGUANGGCCAUGGAAUAGGACGCCACUCGGAGAAGGAAAUCUAUGGCAUUGCUGAAAGAGAUCUUCGUGCUGUGUCCGCAUGGCUGGGCAAAAAGAAGUUUCUAUUUGGCAACCAGCCCUCACUGGUUGACGCCGCUCUCUUCGCUCUUGUUGGUAAUAUUAGCUGGCAGAUGGUUGAGAGUCCACAGGCACAUCUAAUCGAGGCUGACCUGAAGAAUCUUGCUGAGCAUGCGCAUAGAAUGAAAGAAUUGUUUUAUCCUGACNGGGAUGAAAUAACCCGUGGCUCACAGAAGACAAAAUCUACUUGAUCGAGUACGACAUGGCAGUCACUACAUCCUCUGCUGGUUAGUGUAUUUUUUCUCGAAUGUUUGCUCAGGUAAACCUAGAAUGCUUGAAAAUACUCUUGUGAGUUACGAUCUUUGAUGCUAGGUGGAGUUAAUUGGUUAAUAUAACCCUGUACUUGUUGCUAGGCGGAGUUGACUGGUUAAUAUAGACAUGUACUUGUUGCUAGGCGGAGUUGAUUGGUUAAUAUAGACCUGUACUUGUUGCUAGGCGAAGUUAAUUGGUUAAUUUGUUGAUAUGGGGAAGUGAUUCGUUACUAGACACGAUAUAUUGCUAUAGGCAGACCAUUGUUAGAGUUAGAUAUGCGUUUCUACUUUUGCCUAUAAAAGUUCUCUUAGCGAAGGUAUAGUAACUUUUAAAAAAUAUGCAUGGUCAAGCUGAAAGCAAUGUGAUGGCAUCUAGGCAGCCAUCAUACUGUCCAUGUAUACGUACGUACGAAUACUGUCUAUCUCAAAACAUGUUUGCCAAUAGACCAGUUCGAAUUCCAAACUACCGCUGUGUUCCUUGAUUACAGACACAUUUACACAGGGUUAGGCUCGUAUCAUUGUCUAAAUAUUCACAAAUACCAACGGUAAAGUAAAGAAUGCACAACUCCAACAAUACAAACACUUUGAAA
rnacentral:misc_RNA from 1 species